rnacentral:rRNA from 1 species
AGUGAACGCUGGCGGUAGGCCUAACACAUGCCAGUCGAACGGCAGCACAGUAAGAGCUUGCUCUUACGGGUGGCGAGUGGCGGACGGGUGAGGAAUACAUCGGAAUCUACUUUUUCGUGGGGGAUAGCGUAGGGAAACUUACGCUAAUACCGCAUACGACCUACGGGUGAAAGCAGGGAAUCUUCGGACCUUGCGCGAUGAAAUGAGCUGAUGUCGGAUUAGCUAGUUGGAGAGGGAAAGGCCCACCAAGGCGACGAUGGGUAGCCGGUCUGAGAGGAUGAUAGGACACAAUGGGACUGAGACACGGCCAUAACGCGUACGGGAGGCAGCAGUGGGGAAUAUAUGACAAUGUACCGAGAGUCUGAUCAAGCAAUUCUGUGUGCACGAUGAAGUUUUUCGGAAUGUAAAGUGCUUUCAGUUGGGAAGAAACAAAUGACGGUACCAACAGAAGAAGUGACGGCUAAAUACGUG